ACUGGGACGUUUUGGGACUGAUUGGUGGGAUUGCUGUGGACGAAGUACACACGGAGAUACACUGGUAAGAGAUAAUGAGGUUUAACCAUGUAUCAGCUAAUUUAAAUAGCUCACGUUACUGUAUUGUGUGAACAGGUAACUUCAUUUAAUAUUGUAUGUGGCGUUUUCUUUUGCGGGGUGCAAAUGUUCCACUAAAACAAGUUCCUUCCAGAGACUAUUCUGCAGAGCCACCGCCACUGCAGAGCGCCGCCCAAGACUAUUGUGAUUGGUUUAAAGAAAUGUAAACGACCCAGAGCGGGGUUUUUUUUCCUAUCGCAGAAUGCAUCUGCGGUCUGGC